ensembl:lncRNA
UCUCUCUGUAUUUUCUCUGUAUUCUCUCUGUGUUUUCUCUGUAUUCUCUCUGUAUUCUCUCUGUAUUCUCUCUGUAUUUUCUCUGUAUUUACUCUGAGGCUCUGUGCACUUCCCCCUGAGCCCGCUGCGCGGCGCUGUUUCCUCGGCCGCAGUUGUCACACUCUUUGCGUGAGACUAUGUUGGAAAAAGCUCCUAAACUCCGCUCUUUCACGGUUUUUGCGGCUGGUUUAGCGCGGAUCGCGCUGUGAGUGCGGCCCGGAGCAGGACCCGCACUCGCUGCGCCCUGUAGCCGCCUCGGAGCGUCGCUCUCGGGGCUUGUGCGGAGCGGGUUACCGAUCUGUGACUGGAGCUUUAGCCGUUAGCACAUUAGCUCCGGAGCUAAUCCGAACGUCACGUCAGCGGCGCAGGCCGAGCGGCGCAGGCCCGGGUGAGUCAGGGGCCGGGGUCUGUGCCCGCGGGAGGAGCUCCGGGCCUCCCGGUGCUCACUCCCGGUGUUCCCCGGUAUCUGUCGGUUCGUUUCAGGGGCACAUUUUGGGGGGACAUGCGGUAGACCGCGGCUCCCGGAGGUGAGGCCUGCGGGUCGGGCUUUCAGCGGCCUCGCGUGAGACGCGCGGCCGCCGCGUGGAUCUCGGAGCGCGGCCUCAUGGAGCGGAUGGAGGUGGAGCCGUGCGCAUGCGCAGCAGGGGGCGGGGCUCUGCGCAGGUCCAACAGCGCCCCCAUGAUCACGAGCGUCAGCGACGGCUCCACCGUCUUUGGCUCCUCCUCUUCAGCGAGAUUCAGACGCAGCAGUGUCUCAGUGAACCCCAGCGGCCCCUCACAGCUGCUUCCUCUGUCUUCAUUUCCCCUGAACACAGACCGGACUGAGACCAAGAGACAUGAGGACCUCAGCUCUGCUCUGAGGGGGAGUCUGCAGCGACUCAGUGCGUCGAGUCUGACCCCAGCUCCAGCGGCGAGUCACUGGAGCCACUCGACCACGUGGAGCCCUCCUCAGGACUCUGGGGUCACUCCAAACUCCUCCCCCUCGCCCACACGCAGAUUCAGACCGGCAGUAAGAUGGCCGACAGCAGCUCCUCUCAAGCGAAAAGGAGGAGUGGAGUCGGACGGUCCGCCCAAAAAACUCUUUGUCGCUGGAGUCUCAGAGCCGCAUAGAAACUUCUCUGUCAGUGUUUCGGAGGCGUCGGACUCUCCUCCUCUCAGCGCGCCGCCAUCUUUCUCCUCCUUCUCUCCGCACCAGCACUAGCCCCACCCUCACCUAUGAAAUCUGGCUCCUGAUUGGACGGUGAGACGACAGAGCAGAGGAUUGUGGGAAACGCAGUCACAAAUGAAGCACUUAAAGAUAAUCACCAAAAAUAUGAAGGUUUUGUGUUGAAGAAAUCCUCUCCAGGACUUUUUAAACGUUUGUAAAAAAAAAAAAUGAAUGUGCUUUUUAUCCCAAAACAGAACUCAAACCAGAAACCAGUGGCACAGUGGUUAUCCUGUCUCCUCCCUCUUACCAGGAGGUUGUGGGUUUGACUCUUGAUGCUCUUUUUCUGGUUUGAACACUAAACAGGGACUAUAUUUUUAUCAGCUUUUAUUGUUUUGUUGACAUCUGCAGUUCUGAGCAAAAACGAUCGUGAUGUUUGACGACUUCAAAGCAUAAUUUUGAAUUUCAAGUGCAACUUUCAUCAGAAAAGAACAAAACCAGAGUCGUCCUCAGUCACAUUCCCUCGAGUUUUAUGUCGACGAUGUGAAACUCGCAGCUCCUCACAUAUGAUUUAGUUUGGCUCGUCUGUUUUAAAUCAGAUGCCACGUCCCGACAGUGACACUUUAAGUUACUUUUUCUGGAGUAAUAUUUUCCCCAAAUACUUUUUACUCUUUCUUGGACCACUACACUGUACUUCUACUUGAGGAAUAUUAUUUUGAAGUAACAUUACUCUUACUGAUAUAAAAAAAAAUCUACUUCAGUACGAGGAAUGUUUUUUGCAGUCCCGGUUUAGUCUUGACUUGGACCUAAGUACCAUUACUCUUACUCGAGUAUAUCUUUGGAUACUUCAGCACCUCUGGCCAAAACAAAACAUAUUUGUAAUUUCAACAGUUUAAACAGUUUUAUUCACACUUUUGUCAGUGCCUUAGCCGAGGUCCACACUUUUAACUUCAGAAUUGCCUCAGUUUGUUGCGCAGAACUGCAGAUGUAAAAUGUACUCUUCAAAUGUGUAAAUACUGUUUGUAAUGUUGUGAAAAUGUAAAUAUUUUGUACAGUUUUAGGUCUCUCAUUUUAAAACGUGACAUUUUGUUUUGGAAAAAGGACAUCGGGACGAGGGGUCGGGCAGAAAAACAUGAAUCACGAUUUUUUAAAACUUUUUUUCUUUUCAAAAAACAAAUACAAAAUGUCAUUUUAUGUUUUGGUUUCAGAGACAUUUAAAACAAAAAUACUUUUCUUCUUUUCUUCAAGUGUUUGGUCGGCUCCAAACCGAGAGGACUGUGCGUCUAGAACAGCCAAACUGACCUUUGACCUUGAAGAGAGGUUUAUCCAGGACUGAGUCUCCUAAAGCUAGUCCUGGUUCAGUCCUGGUUCAGUCCUGGUUCAGUCCUGGUUUAGUCCUGGUUCAGUCCUGGUUCAGUCCUGGUUCAGUCCUGGUUUUAGUCCUGGUUCAGUCCUGGUUCAGUCCUGGUUUUAGUCCUGGUUUUAGUCCUGGUUUAGUCCUGGUUCAGUCCUGGUUCAGUCCUGGUUUAGUCCUGGUUUAGUCCUGGUUCAGUCCUGGUUCAGUCCUGGUUUAGUCCUGGUUCAGUCCU